UCAAAUAAAUUUGUUAGUCUCUAAGGUGCCCCAAGUCCUCCUUUUCUUUUUGCGGAUACAGACUAACACAGCUGCUACUCUGAAACCUGUCAAAGAAAAGUGCUAUUGAAACGAAGCUGGGACCUCGUCUUGUUAACGGAGGACAGCCAGACUGACUCAGAAUUAUGUGCUGGUGACUGACACCUGAAAUAAUUUGUCAAACUUUUUUGAGAUGUUACUUUCACAUGACUUUAUACCUCUUCUAGCUGAUAAUACAGCCAUUCAUUCUGGAUUUCAAACCAUGGAAAGACUUGACUUUCUGGGGGUCUACUACUUCCCUAUUCAUGACUACCACCUGUAUGUAGGCCUGGCUCAAGGUUUUGUCAUCCCAUUGCUCCUCUAUGAAGUUGGAGAACCUUCCUUUCUCUAUCCUCACUGGUGUUUGCAGCAUUUUCAUCUGUGAAGCUCAAUAAAGCAAUGUGAAAACUAUCAAAGGGAACCACCUGGGUUCAGGAAUCUGACCCUGCACAGAACUAAUGAGACUGGAGAGAAAUGCCCUGUCAAGUCCCUGAAAU